AAGAUAUACACACUCACAAAAAGCUUGUCAGUGUAAGAAUUCAACACACACAGGAUACAUAGAAGACUUCACAGACAGAAUGCCAUACUGCCACAUAAGGGCUAUGAGUAAGUACUAUAAUCACUUAGGGAAGGCAUAGAUCAAGAAAGCCUGGAAGACCAUGUCAAAACCAUUUACACAAGGCUCAACUGGAGCUCUGUCUUGAAACGUGGACAGGAUGUCACACAU
rnacentral:lncRNA from 1 species